GUUUUGGCACAAUGUACGCCUUUGGACACUCCCCAGCUUCCUCGUCUGGUACACCAAUAACAGCAGCAUCAGCAAUGGCCUCGUGUGUCACCAGAAGACCCUCAAGUUCAGCAGGAGCAACCUGGAAUAAAGGAAACAAAAGAAUAAACGGGCUGGGCCGACCAUCAGGCCCCACCUGGAAGAAGCCUUGGGCCGACCAUCAGGCCCCACCAGGAAGAUGCCUACCGGCGCAACAGGCAAAACGACGUAAAAAUGCUAUAGGCAUACACAUAAAAAAAUUAAAAAAAUAAAAAGUUAGAAAACAUA